GACGGAGGAUGCAAGCGUUAUCCGGAAUGAUUGGGCGUAAAGCGUCCGCAGGUGGCAGUUCAAGUCUGCUGUCAAAGACCGGGGCUUAACUUCGGAAAGGCAGUGGAAACUGAACAGCUAGAGUAUGGUAGGGGCAGAGGGAAUUCCUGGUGUAGCGGUGAAAUGCGUAGAUAUCAAGAGGAACACCUGCGGCGAAGGCGGGUUGCUGGGCCGACACUGACGCUGAUGCGCGAAAGCUAGGGGAGCGAACGGG
rnacentral:rRNA from 1 species